rnacentral:rRNA from 1 species
AACGAACGCUGGCGGCAGGCUUAACACAUGCAAGUCGAACGCCCCGCAAGGGGAGUGGCAGACGGGUGAGUAACGCGUGGGAACAUACCCUUUCCUGCGGAAUAGCUCCGGGAAACUGGAAUUAAUACCGCAUACGCCCUACGGGGGAAAGAUUUAUCGGGGAAGGAUUGGCCCGCGUUGGAUUAGCUAGUUGGUGGGGUAAAGGCCUACCAAGGCGACGAUCCAUAGCUGGUCUGAGAGGAUGAUCAGCCACAUUGGGACUGAGACACGGCCCAAACUCCUACGGGAGGCAGCAGUGGGGAAUAUUGGACAAUGGGCGCAAGCCUGAUCCAGCCAUGCCGCGUGAGUGAUGAAGGCCUUAGGGUUGUAAAGCCCUUUCACCGAUGAAGAUAAUGACGGUAGUCGGAGAAGAAGCCCCGGCUAACUUCGUG